AUGAACGCUAGCGAUAGGCCUAACACAUGCAAGUCGAGGGGCAGCACAUGAAGUAGCAAUACGGAUGGUGGCGACCGGCGGAUGGGUGAGUAACACGUAUGCAACCUACCUUUAACACGGGCAUAACUCGAAGAAAUUCGUGCUAAUUCCCGAUAACACAGGGGCGCCGCAUGGCGAUAUUUGUUAAAGAUUAAUCGGUUAAAGAUGGGCAUGCGUUCCAUUAGUUAGUUGGUGAGGUAACGGCUCACCAAGACCACGAUGGAUAGGGGGACUGAGAGGUUUAUCCCCCACACUGGUACUGAGACACGGACCAGACUCCUACGGGAGGCAGCAGUGAGGAAUAUUGGUCAAUGGAGGCAACUCUGAACCAGCCAAGUCGCGUGAAGGAUGAAUGUCCUAAGGAUUGUAAACUUCUUUUAUACAGGAAUAAAUAUUGCCACGUGUGGCAAUUUGCAUGUACUGUAUGAAUAAGGAUCGGCUAACUCCGUG
rnacentral:rRNA from 1 species